rnacentral:lncRNA from 1 species
GGCGCCCUGGGUCCCGCGGGGUGCAGUCAGUCCGAGUCGCGUCGCAGAAGCAGUCCGAGUGGGCCUCUGAGUGGAGGUCGGAGUCCUGGUCGGGGUCCGGGUCGGGGUCGGGGUCGGGAUCUGAGUCUGGUCCAGGUCGCGGUCGCGGUGGAGGUUGCGGUGGCGGAGGCAGUAGGAGACUCAGUGCUGGUCUGAGUGGGCGUCCGAGUCGCGGUUGCUGUUGGAGUCCUGGUCUCCGUCGGGAUCCGAGUCGGGAUCGGGAUCGGGGUCAGAUUUGUGGUCGCGGUGAGAGUGGAAGUGGGCAUCCGAGUCGAGGUCGUGGUCAGAGUCCUGGUCGGGGUCCGGGUCGGGAUCCGAGUCUCGGUCUCCAUCGCGGUAGGAGUCCGAGUCGCAGUCGCGGUCGCGGUCGGAGUCCUGGUUGUGGUCGGGAUCAGAGUCGAGGUCGGGGUCGGGGUCGCGGUCGGCAUCUGGACUGGGAUCCGGAUCAGAGUCGCGGUCGCGUUCGGAGUCCUGUUUGGAGUCGUGUUUGCGAUCCAGAGCGGAGUCAAGGUCAGCUGGGCACAACCAACCCUGACCUAGCCAGGAGAUGUGGGCAUCAGUGGCGGAGGUGGACAGAUCCAGGCCCAGAGCGACUGCUGCAGUCCAGCUCAGCCCAGGAAGCUGCUCAAGACCCAGGCACACCACAGCCAGGAAGCCCAAGAGGAGAGCAAGCCCAGCCUUCGGGAAGCCUCACCGCACGAUGCCCUUCCAUUGAGGCCCUGGGAGGAGCCCUGCAAGCUGCAGUGGGGACCUUCCCACUGUCCCCUGUGGACUCCUGAGCUCCACCUGCCCCCUGCACCCCUUCCGCCCUUGAGGUCUCUGCCCCGCAGAGCCCCCCUCACUGUGCUCUUCCCCUCCUGAACCACCUUUGCCAACUUUGUGCAGGAGAAAGGAAGGACUCCCCACAGGGAGUUAGUAGUAUGCUCAAGACCUCUUCAAGCUGGGCAGAUUUGUCACUAUUGUUGUCUCGCUCAAAUUACGUGAUGAAUAAAUCUUUCCCUCAUUCACCACAUGUGCAAUUGUGUUUGAGUGGGUGAAGGCAGGGUCAGAACACUGGGGAACGAUCUGGAGCCCCAAAGGCCUGCAAACCAGGUCUGAGGUACGAGGCUGAAAUCCACAGCAAAAGUGAACAAAACAAAACAAAACAAAACCCCACAUGUUCUUUGUCCAGUCCCCAGUUGAUGGACAAUUGGGCUACUUCCAAGUUUUAGCUAUUAGAAACUGUGCCGCUAUAAACGUGGGUGUGCAUAUAUUCUUGUGGUAUGACUCUCUUAAUUCUUUUGGCAAGAUACCCAGCAGAGGAAUAGCUGGGUCAAAUGGGACCUCUAAUCCCAGUUUUCUGAGGUAUCUCCAUAUUGAUUUCCACAGUGGUUGCACCAGUCUGCGCUCCCACCCACAAUGGUGAGGGUUCCUUUGUCCCCACAACUCCGUCAGCCAGCGUCUGUCAUUGGUUGAUUACUCCCUCUCUCUGUCUCUCUCUUUCUUUCUUCCUUUCUUUCUUUCUUUUUGUUUUUCUUUUUGGACCACGGAUGGAACUCGGGAAAUUGUGCUUGAGAAGGCAGGCACCAGAACCACGGAGCUACAUCCCAGCCCUAUUGGUUGAUUUCUUGACAGCAGCCAUUCUUUCUGGGGCGAGGUGGAAUCUCAGUGUUGUUUUCAUCUGCAUCUCUCCAAUGACCAGUGAUGUUGAACAUUUUUUUCAUAUGUUUACUUGCUGCCUCAAAAGGUGCUUUUAUUGCCAUUUUUAUCUUUUUUGUUUCCUAUCGUUCUCUCUGCUUUUCUUCCUUUGGUUUCUUUUCAUUUUUGUUUUCUUGUUUUGUCAUUUCCCCCCUGCCUUUCAUUUUGUUUUGGUUUUGGUCUUGUUUCCACUAAAGGCCAAGCCCAGGUAUCCCAAAGUGCAUCCCCGGAACAACGAUGACUGGGAUGUUUGUUAGUGAUACUCUUACACCUUCAUGCAUCUACUUCACUCUUUGCUUUUCCUUGAGUUCUUCAAGAGUUGAUCAGAAGAUGCCGAGCUCCAGUGAGUGCAGUGGCACAUGCCUCUACUCCCAGCACCCAAAGAGCGGGAAGCAGGAUCAACUUAAGCAGGAGACGCCCUUGGCAGUGUAGCCAGAGAGCCUACCUCCAAGUGAAAUGUAAACAACAUAGAAACGGCCUGUGUGAAAUUCUUUGGAGCUCCAGGAUAAGGCCAGGGAUUUAGCUCAGUGGUUCCACCACCUGCCUGGAGCUCCAGGAGACACUGGGCAGACCAGAAGCCUAACCUUUCAUGUGAUUGUAGUGGGAGAGGGGAGGGUCAGGCAUAACCGGAGCAGGUGACAGAGCAGUCUGAAGAUGGUAGGGUGGGAACACCCUCCCCAGAGGAAAAAAGUCCAUCUCCGCAUUUUUCUUCUCCCCUUUUCUCCCCUCCUUGGGUCCAGGUCCGACAACCUGGGAAUGAAUUCACACCGAGGAGGCUUUGGCAAUUGACUGCCCUCUUCCUGGGAAUCAUCCUGCUUUAGAGAAAGCAGGUAGUAGGAAAGUCAAAUGCUUGAAGUGAGUAUACCAGUAUUGCCUAUGCAUCUCGUGAUGGGAGAGAACUCAAACCUGCUAGCACUAGCAGAUCCCGAGAUCUUGGCCCCUCCCUAGCAUCCCAGUUAACCAGAAAACAGAGUUGUUUCUUUUCGGGAUGGACAUGUGGCACAGGAAGCAAACCAAGCAAUGUCCCAGUGAAGAUGAGAGAAGUGUGCCAUCAGACCCAGAGUGAUCCCACCUGCACCUUUCAUUUUAUUCACAGGCAUGCGCAAGUGUGUGCACAUGCACACACACACACACACACACACACACGCACUCGUGAGUCCCACCUCUGGGGAUUUCCAGCAGGUGAAUGAUGUGAUCCGUGGAGAUCCUCAAACUCCCACUGCAGUUGCUGGGGCGCCUUCUGUGAAAUCCAGUGGUGCAUUGCAGGCAGGGGUGCAGUGUAAAUGAAUGCCCAAUGCCAUAGUGAGCUCUGGUGUCAACUUGAGAAAGACACGCCUAGCCCGGGGGCUUAGUGUAGGUGCCUGGAGCUAGGCCGGGAGACUGGCACUCAGGCUGUGUGGUAGUCAAUCAGCUGACUGACUGGCAGGAGCUUAGUUCUGAGUCGCACCACCCUAAGGGCGGGAGCCUGGAUGGAAUAUAAAGGGGUGGGCAACAGGCAGUGUUGCUGCUGCUGCUGCUAUUUCUUGCAGCCAGCCCCUUUGCUUCCUGCUGCUGGCCGCUUGCUUCUUGCUGCCCCUGCCUUCUGCUGGCCAAGCCACGCAGGGACGGACUACUGCUCCUCUGCUGUGCCACCCUGCCUUGGAGCCAGCUCCAUAGGAAUUGAAACCCCCACAGACAAAUCGUGAGUGACCACACACCUUUCGUCCUUUGGCUUUGGGGGUCGGGAUCGGUCGGCUUUUUCCUUUCAGCCAGGAGCAACCAAUGUAAGUGAGACACAGGCCCUAGAUAUU